rnacentral:rRNA from 1 species
UACGUAGGGUGCGAGCGUUGUCCGGAAUUACUGGGCGUAAAGAGCUCGUAGGCGGUGUGUCACGUCGAUCGUGAAAACUUGGGGCUUAACUCUGAGCUUGCGGUCGAUACGGGCAUCACUGGAGUUCGGCAGGGGAGAGUGGAAUUCCUGGUGUAGCGGUGAAAUGCGCAGAUAUCAGGAAGGAACACCCGUGGCGAAGGCGGCUC